rnacentral:misc_RNA from 1 species
GAUGAAGAACGCAUCGAAAUGCGAUACUUGGUGUGAAUUGCAGAAUCCCGUGAACCAUCGAGUCUUUGAACGCAAGUUGCGCCCGAAGCCACUAGGCCGAGGGCACGCCUGCCUGGGCGUCACACGUCGUUGCCCCCCCCCAUCUACUCCUUCGGGAUUGCGGGGGGCGGAUGAUGGCCUCCCGUGCGCCUAGCCGCGCGGUUGGCAUAAAUACCAAGUCCUCGGCGACGCACGCCACGACAAUCGGUGGUUGCGAAACCUCGGUUGCCCGUCGUGUGCGUUCGUCGCGCAUCGAGGGCUCGAAAAAAUGCUCGGCUCCGGCUCGGCUUUCAACGCGACCCCAGGUCAGGCGGGGUUACCCGCUGAAUUUAAGCAUAUCAAUAAGCGGAGGA